rnacentral:tRNA from 1 species
AGGAACGUAGCUCAGCGGGAGAGCACUGCCUUGACGCGGCAGGGGUCGUGGGUUCAAAUCCCACCGUUCCUACCA